UACGUAGGGUGCGAGCGUUAAUCGGAAUUACUGGGCGUAAAGCGUGCGCAGGCGGUUCGUUGUGUCGGCGGUGAAAGCCCCGGGCUUAACCUGGGAAUGGCCGUUGAAACUGGCGAACUGGAGUGUGGCAGAGGGGGGUGGAAUUCCGCGUGUAGCAGUGAAAUGCGUAGAGAUGCGGAGGAACACCAGUGGCGAAGGCGACUCUUUGGCCUGUAACUGACGCUGAGGCGCGAAAGCGUGGGGAGCAAACAGG
rnacentral:rRNA from 1 species